rnacentral:rRNA from 1 species
UAGAGUUUGAUCCUGGCUCAGUGAUCAACGCUGGCGCGCGUGCCUAAUGCAUGCAAGUCGAACGGGGGGCUUUCGGGCCCUCAGGGUGGCGGACGGGUGAGUGAACACUGUGGGCAAGCUGGCCCAAGGUGGGGGGUAGCCCUCGGAAACAGGGGGUAAUUCCGCAUGUGCGUACCGGGCAGUGGACCGGGUACGGAAAGGCUCUUCGGAGUCGCCUUGGGGGGCGCCUGCGGCCGAUUAGCUGGUUGGUGGGGUAACGGCCUACCAAGGCGGUGAUCGGGNGGUGGUCUGAGAGGACGGCCAGCCACACGGGGACUGAGACACGGCCCCGACUCCUACGGGAGGCAGCAGCAAGGAAUUUUCCGCAAUGGGGGAAACCCUGACGGAGCAACGCCGCGUGCGGGAUGACGCGUUUCGGCGUGUAAACCGCUUUUCUUGGGGAAGAUGGAGGACGGUACCCGAGGAAGAAGGCCCGGCCUAACUACGUGCCAGCAGCCGCGGUAAUACGUAGGGGCCGAGCGUUGUCCGGAGUUAUUGGGCCGUAAAGCGCGCGCAGGCGGCUUCGUGCGCCCGCUGUGAAAGCCCCCGGCUUUAACCGGGGAGGGUCAGUGGGGACGGCGGACUUGAGGGCGGGAGAAGGGUGUUGAAUUCCGGUUUAUUGUGAANUGCUUAGAGAUCGGGAAGAANACCUUGUGGGCGAAGGCCGGCCCACCUGGGCCGACCCUGACGUUGAAGGCGCGAAGGGCGUGGGGAGCCGAACGGGAUUAGAUACCCCGGUAGUCCACGCAGUAAACGAUGCAGACUAGGCGUGGGUGGACUUUGACCCCAUCCGUGCCGGAGCUAACGCGGGAAGUCUGCCGCCUGGGGAGUACGGCCGCAAGGCUAAAACUCAAAGGAAUUGACGGGGGCCCGCACAAGCGGCGGAGCGUGCGGUUUAAUUCGACGUAACGCGCAAAACCUUACCAGGGCUUGACAUGCUCCUGCGAGACCGGGAAACCGGGAAGCCUUCGAGGGAGGAGCACAGGUGCUGCAUGGCUGUCGUCAGCUCGUGUCGUGAGAUGUUGGGUUAAGUCCCGCAACGAGCGCAACCCUCGUGGGUAGUUGUCGAUGUUUCUACCCAGACUGCCGCGAGCAACGCGGAGGAAGGUGGGGAUGACGUCAAGUCAGCAUGGCCCUUACGUCCUGGGCAACACGCACGCUACAAUGGGGGGGACAACGGGUAGCCAAGCGGCAACGCGGAGCGAAUCCCAGCAAACCCCUUCUCAGUUGGAAUUGUGGGCUGCAACUCGCCCGCAUGAACGCGGAGUCGCUAGUAACCGCCGGUCAGCACUACGGCGGUGAAUACGUUCCCGGGCCUUGUACACACCGCCCGUCACGUCACGAAAGCCGGCAACACCUGAAGCCGGUGGGCCAACCCGCAAGGGGGGCAGCCGUCGAGGGUGGGGUGGGUGAUUGGGACGAAGUCGUAACAAGGUAGCCGUAGCGGAAGCUGCGGCUGGAUCACCUCC